CGGCGGACGGGUGAGUAACGCGUGGGUAACCUACCCUGUACACACGGAUAACAUACCGAAAGGUAUGCUAAUACGGGAUAAUAUAUUUGAGAGGCAUCUCUUGAAUAUCAAAGGUGAGCCAGUACAAGAUGGACCCGCGUCUGAUUAGCUAGUUGGUAAGGUAACGGCUUACCAAGGCGACGAUCAGUAGCCGACCUGAGAGGGUGAUCGGCCACAUUGGAACUGAGACACGGUCCAA
rnacentral:rRNA from 1 species